rnacentral:tRNA from 1 species
GCACCCAUAGCUCAGCUGGAUAGAGCGCUGCCCUCCGAAGGCAGAGGUCAGAGGUUCGAAUCCUCUUGGGUGCA